rnacentral:rRNA from 1 species
GUCUUUUUGAUUAAUAAUUUAAAGUCUAAUCUGCCCACUGAUAAUAUAUUAAAGGGCUGCAGUAUUUUGACUGUACAAAGGUAGCAUAAUCAUUAGUCUCUUAAUUGGUGACUUGUAUGAAAGAUUUGAUGAAAUAUAUACUGUCUCUAAUUAAUUUAUAAAAUUUAAUUUUUUAGUUAAAAAGCUAAAAUAAAUUUAAAAGACGAGAAGACCCUAUAGAGUUUAAUAUUUAUAUAAAUUGAGAUUUUAUAUAAGAAUUAUAAUUUUAAUAAUAUAUAAAUAUUUUGUUGGGGUGAUAAAAAAAUUAAAAUAACUUUUUUUAUAUUUUUACAUUUAUAAAUGAAUAAAUGAUCCAUAAUUUAUGAUUAUAAGAAAAAAUUACCUUAGGGAUAACAGCGUAAUUUUUUUUUUUAGUUCAAAUAAGAAAAAGAGUUUGCGACCUCGAUGUUGGAUUAAGAUAAAAUUUAAAUGCAAAAGUUUAAAAUUUUUGAUCUGUUCGAUCAUUAAAAUCUUACA